rnacentral:rRNA from 1 species
GAUGAACGCUGGCGGUCUGCUUAACACAUGCAAGUCGAACGGAAUCCUUCGGGAUUUAGUGGCGGACGGGUGAGUAACACGUGAGAAUCUGCACUCAGGAUGGGGACAACAGCGGGAAACUGCUGCUAAUACCCAAUGUGCCGAAAGGUGAAAGAUUUAUCGCCUGAGAAUGAGCUCGCGGCCGAUUAGUUAGUUGGUGGGGUAAAGGCCUACCAAGACGGCGAUCGGUAGCUGGUCUGAGAGGAUGAGCAGCCACACUGGGACUGAGACACGGCCCAGACUCCUACGGGAGGCAGCAGUGGGGAAUUUUCCGCAAUGGGCGCAAGCCUGACGGAGCAAGACCGCGUGGGGGAGGAAGGCUCUUGGGUUGUAAACCCCUUUUCUCAGGGAAGAACACAAUGACGGUACCUGAGGAAUCAGCCUCGGCUAACUCCGUG